GGGAUAACAGUUAGAAAUGACUGCUAAUACCGCAUAAGACCACAGCACCGCAUGGUGCAGGGGUAAAAACUCCGGUGGUAUGAGAUGGACCCGCGUCUGAUUAGGUAGUUGGUGGGGUAACGGCCUACCAAGCCGACGAUCAGUAGCCGACCUGAGAGGGUGACCGGCCACAUUGGGACUGAGACACGGCCCAAACUCCUACGGGAGGCAGCAGUGGGGAAUAUUGCACAAUGGGGGAAACCCUGAUGCAGCGACGCCGCGUGAGCGAUGAAGUAUUUCGGUAUGUAAAGCUCUAUCAGCAGGGAAGAAAAUGACGGUACCUGACUAAGAAGCACCGGCUAAAUACGUGCCAGCAGCCGCGGUAAUACGUAUGGUGCAAGCGUUAUCCGGAUUUACUGGGUGUAAAGGGAGCGUGGACGGAGUGGCAAGUCUGAUGUGAAAACCCGGGGCUCAACCCCGGGACUGCAUUGGAAACUGUCAAUCUAGAGUACCGGAGAGGUAAGCGGAAUUCCUAGUGUAGCGGUGAAAUGCGUAGAUAUUAGGAGGAACACCAGUGGCGAAGGCGGCUUACUGGACGGUAACUGACGUUGAGGCUCGAAAGCGUGGGGAGCAAACAGGAUUAGAUACCCUGGUAGUCCACGCCGUAAACGAUGAC
rnacentral:rRNA from 1 species